rnacentral:rRNA from 1 species
UACGGAAGGCAGCAGUGGGGAAUAUUGCACAAUGGGCGCAAGCCUGAUGCAGCCAUGCCGCGUGUAUGAAAAAGGCCUUCGGGUUGUAAAGUACUUUCAGUCGUGAGGAAGGUGUUAAGGUUAAUAACCUUAGCAAUUGACGUUAGCGACAGAAGAAGCACCGGCUAACUCCGUGCCAGCAGCCGCAGUAAUACGGAGGGUGCGAGCGUUAAUCGGAAUUACUGGGCGUAAAGGGCACGCAGGCGGUUAAUUAAGUUGGAUGUGAAAUCCCCGGGCUUAACCUGGGAAUGGCAUUCAAGACUGGUUAGCUAGAGUCUUGUAGAGGGGGUAGAAUUCCAUGUGUAGCGGUGAAAUGCGUAGAGAUGUGGAGGAAUACCGGUGGCGAAGGCGGCCCCUGGACAAAGACUGACGCUCAUGUGCGAAAGCGUGGGGAGCAAACGAGGAUUAGAUACC